CCUGUGUGGACGGGCGAUUGCAUGUGCCUGUUGGGUCCUGGCAAGCUGAGUGGGGUACGUAGUGUCGCAGUGGUCGCAAACGGCGAGUGUUGGCGUGGCUCAAUUCCACGAGUGGAUAGCAAUUUGAGCUAAGCAGCUGCUGGUUACGUCCCAUUGCAUGCACCGUUCUGGAGAUAGCGGAUGGAACAAGUUAUUGAUGCCAAUAUUUCUACGAUGCUCAGAUCUUGAUCUAAAUGGAUUUUGUAGUAUUCAUUCUCAUGAAUGGUGUUCCUUCAAUGAUGCCGAAGAUCACAAUGAAAGUUUUAAAUUUAGUGAGCACUAAUCUUGUUCUAAGAAUUUGUACUAAGUCUGUGUGAAGUUCUUAAAAGUGGUUGUCACAGAUUUAGUUUCAGGACCCGCAUAGUAACAUGAAGGAAAAUCGUCCUUAAAUUUGAAGACAAUAGUGCUCCAAGCAUGUGACGUGCUGUUUACUGAUACUUCAAUUUGUCAGAUGCUCGCUGCAUUCCUCAGCAACACUGCUGCCGCUCCGGCCCAGAAUACACCGGCAACAACGAACUCAGCACUUGGAAUCGAUGUCUCCCCGAGUGCAGAACUGACACAGACCAGCGGACAUGCACAGCACGCUGUAAACGGAGAGGAAGACGACGCAUAUUAUUACACCUACGACGGCGAUGACACGGACGCAGCGGCACCGGCCGGCGUGGAAGACGAGUACGCGGCCGGCGGCGACGACAUGGAUGCGGCGGCGUCCAUGGCGUUCCGGCCGCUGUUUCGCUACCGGGCGCAGCAGAGGAACCGCCGGCGGAUGCGCGCCGAGCGCCGCUACCGCAGCAGCAGAAACCACUGGUGAUGUGCCGCGUUACGGCCGAGCCGACAGCAGCGGCUAUUGGGGAGCCGUGCCGUCAGCGUAUCACGUCCAGGAACCAGCGCACACGAGGUCGCUGUAUUGUACCUGCACCACUCCACAUUUGUCAAUAUCUCUUCAUCGAGUUCCUUUCUUGCCAAUAAAGGGCUUUCACAUAGUUACAGGUUUAAAUUACCUCCGGGGAAUUCAGGAGAUGACUGCCUGAGAACUACACAACACAGCGAAACAUACACGUUUCAGUGGAUACAGCAUCUCUCCAAGUUUUGAUUCGUGAUACGACCUGCACAGUAGUCGCAAAGCGCAACACUUGGAGACAGACGUGUCAGAAUAUGAAGGCCAGUGGUCUUCAAACUUUUGUUCUCAAGAGUCAAUGCUGAUAUCGUGCGGCGUCCCCUCAGGUCGUAUAUGUAACGAGCUUAUUAUUAACUGGUAACAUAGAUAAAUUACUGUGUUGAGACUCUCCGAUGGACAAGUUAAGGAAGGACGCGAUGAGAUGGGCGCCCACCCCCAAAGUACUGAUCGUUAAAAGUCGCCACCAUUCGGAACACUUCGUGUCGCCUGUGCUCUGUUCCAGAUUGCUGCCACCCUAGCGACUCGAAAGUUGAGACACUAUAAUUACCGCACAAAGUAUUGCUGUUUUGUCUGUGUGUGUGGAUGAUUAACUGAUUAAUAACAGUAAUUGUAUUUGUACUUAAAUGAAUUAUGCAAUAUGAGACACGAUCAAUCAUGUUUGCUACAUGUUUUGAAUGUCAUUUUUCUGUUACCCAUUGUAUUGCAUGACAAAAUCCUUAAUUUAAUUCCAUAUUCCUUGCUGCAAACGUGUAACGCGUUUGUUGAGGAUAGUCUGUAACGUACAGUCAUGACAUGUUACUUUCGUUUGAGUCGUUAGUAAUGGAACAGAAACAAAACAUUAACUCGCUCGCAUCAUGCAACUCUGGAGGAACGAAACUACUUACCCCUCAGCCCCUGUGGUAAGAGGUCAACUUAGCCGAAUUCAUCAGCGUCAAUUUAAAUGAAACAUCUCUUAAAACAUUAUUGUCUCUGUAAGUAGAUUUAUGUGUUACUCAUGAGGGAAACUAUACUCUUCAGAAGCUCUUAACGUUAAUUGACGUUUUUGGAUUCAGGUGUUAGUUGCUAUAUGCAUACGAGUAUUUCAUAAAAUACGGCUGAGAGUCGCGGGCCGCACGAAUACUUGAUUGGGGCCGCAGUUUGACGACCACUGAUGUAGAAAAAUCUGCCGCUUCGCAACGUCCCAGGUAGGCAAACCAAUGAAUAGAUUUCCAAAGCGGGCGCUGGCGUUGUGCCUCCCCAGGCAGCAGCGAUUGACAGUUCAGUGAAUUGCACGUACGUGCUCUUCCGUCUGUUUUGACGUUUUCUGCGUCACAAACAGUGCUCAUACUGAACAUCUGCAGCCGGCCGGAGUGGCCGAUCGGUUCUAGGCGCUACAGUCUGGAUCCGCGCGACCGCUACGGUCGCAGGUUCGAAUUCUGCCUCGGGCAUGGAUGUGUGUGAUGUCUUUAGGUUAGUUAGGUUUAAGUAGUUCUAAGUUAUAGGGGACUGAUGACCUCUGAAGUUAAGUCCCGUAGUGCUCAGAGCCAUUUGAACAUCUGCAAUGUGAUUUAAAAGCUUGGAGAGAUCCUCCAUCCACUGAUACGUCUGUUUUGUGUAUGUAUUGUAGUAUUCGUCCAGUCGUCCUGUGAAACCCGGUAGGCGUCAUGAAUAUCCCUGCAUUUACAGAUGCAUGGUUCCUUUGUCUCAAGUGAAAUGGUGAUACAACGAGACGCACGCUGUAAAUACUUUGAAUUCCACCCACACUGUAUUUUUUACUGCUGCGUUAUGAAUAAUGCUACAUGAUAACCACCAAACAACACUAGAAGAGUUCUUCUAUGUAUCCCCUAAGACUGGUGAACUUCGUACUUGAAGGCAAGUCUAUGAAAUUGAAGACGAAAGGGCAAAUUGGCCAAUAGUACCACCACCGCAUUGCGACUUAAUAACAACUGCCAUUAGUAAUUUAGCACGUGCUUCGGCAAAACUUUUGUAUUGAUUUAUUUUAUAAUGAACCUACUUUUAUAUUGUGCGAUAU